rnacentral:tRNA from 1 species
GUUGUGGCUCAGCAGUAGAGCGCUCACCUAGCACGGGCUAGACCCUGGGUUCAAUCCCCAACACAACA